AUCUGUCAGGCCGUGGUCGUGGCCGCUUCAGACUGCUGUACCUUAGUGGCUUUGCUUUACAAUGAUGGAAUUCUAAAUUUAAGACUAAAUUUUUGCCCCCAAAGGUAAACGAGGUGAAAGUUUUUGCUUAGUAUUUUACUUGACAUGAGAACUGAUUAUAUAAGGAAACUGACACCUGCAGGUGGCAGCCUGGUCUUGUGUCUGGUUAAGAAGAUGACACCGUGCAUGUGUUGCUCUGGAUGUGUAGUGUGUGAAGGACAACAAAGCGUGGAAGAUGGGAUUGCUGGUGAGAAAGGGACUGGGCCUCAGAGGACAGGAAGGAUGCAAAUGCAAGAAGGGGACCAGGAGCUGGCAUCUGACCCUCCUGGAGCCUGGACCCCAGCCUCACCCCGGAGUGGUGCGGUGACAGCUGCGGCAUCGUAGUGACCUCAAGGCCCACACGUGCCCCCUCCAGAUGAGCCUGCCACCUCCCAGGCCCCCUCACGCAGCCAGGGAAGGCCCCACACAAGGGGCCCAGACCCCAGGCCUCGGCUUCCAGAAAGGUAGGGAAGCCGCCGUGCUGACCCAGACAGAGUGGCAGUGACCGGGGGCUUGUCGGGGGGAGGCCUGGCCCCUUCACUGCUUACGGGGGGCGCUGCAGCCUCCCCUCCCCUCACACCUCCCAUUGCCAUGUGCCGGCCGCUGAGCGAGGCCCCGGCUGCAGCGCUGAGUAAGGCAGACUUGGACCCUGUCCUCAUGUUGUUUUCACUCUUCGCUGG
rnacentral:lncRNA from 1 species